AGCCCACGGCUCAACCGGGGGGGGUCAUUGGAAGCGGGAAAGCGUGAGUGCAGAAGCGGAAAGAGGAAUUACAUGUGUAGCGGUAAAAUGCGCAGAGAUAUGGAGGACCCCCAGUGGCGAAGGCGACUUUCUGGUCUGUAACUGACGCUGUUGUGCGAAAGCUUGGGGAUCAAACAGUAUUAGAUACCCUGGUACUCCACGCCGUAAACGAUGAG
rnacentral:rRNA from 1 species